CAGACGAUCAGUCCUCUAUAAAUGCUGGCAAACCUCGAUUUCUGGAAAUUACCAUAUUUUCUUGUUUCUUUUAGCGUGACUUGGUUGAAAGAAGUCUCUGAAGCACAGGCAUAGUUCCGGUUCAUUUGUUUGUCCGUUCCUUGUUCGGAGUUGAUUUAUUCUUCGGGAUUCGCCAGAAAGAGGAAAUUGUCAUCAAUGCUCCGCCUACUAUAGGAGAAGGAUGUCACUGAUUGGAG